rnacentral:rRNA from 1 species
AAACUAACAAGGAUUCCCUUAGUAGCGGCGAGCGAAGCGGGAUGAGCUCAAAUUUGAAAUCUGGCGUCUUUCAGGCGUCCGAGUUGUAAUCUAUAGAAGCGUUUUCUGUGCUGGACCGUGUCCAAGUCCCUUGGAACAGGGUAUCAAAGAGGGUGACAAUCCCGUACUUGACACGACCACCAGUGCUCUGUGAUACGUUUUCUACGAGUCGAGUUGUUUGGGAAUGCAGCUCAAAAUGGGUGGUAAAUUCCAUCUAAAGCUAAAUAUUGGCGAGAGACCGAUAGCGAACAAGUACCGUGAGGGAAAGAUGAAAAGCACUUUGGAAAGAGAGUUAAACAGUACGUGAAAUUGUUGAAAGGGAAACGAUUGAAGUCAGUCGUGUCUAUUGGUUUCAGCCGGUUCUGCCGGUGUAUUACCUUUAGACGGGUCAACAUCAGUUUUGGUCGGCGGAUAAUAGCAGUUUGAAUGUGGCACCUCCGGGUGUGUUAUAGCUUUCUGUUGCAUACGCUGUCCGAGACUGAGGACUGCAGCUCGCCGCAAGGCCGGGGUUUCGACCCACGUUACGAGCUUAGGAUGUUGACAUAAUGGCUUUAAACGAC